AUAUUUAAAAAAUGAGCUGGCAAUAAGUACGCAUUUCCUGUGUUAGUGGCAACGACGUUUUAUGGGUAGUGUAGAGCAAAAAUAUGUAAUUUUUAAGAUUAUGGUGUUUAUCAUGGAUAGAAGACGGAAAAAUGUUGAUUCAUUGAAUAAAUUUGGUACGUGCAAGUUCGAGUUUCUAUUGGAGAAGCAUAGAGAAGUUGUGGGAAGGUCUACGCCAAUGGAUGAGUUCGUUCCUGUGUGUUCUCAGUAUAUACACUAUGGACGAUUUGGUGUUGCACGACGUACUACGUUCGCGUACCCUGGAAGAGAAUUCCCCUGAGACGAGACACGGGGAAGAGGGUCGCGCACCAGGACUGCUCUCAUCGUGGCCCUUUCGUGAGAACAAGUGCGAAACAAGUGUCGCACAGGUUCCUACCACCUAUCUAAGCUACAUUCAGAAAUAUUUCACAAUAGAUCUACAAAACUAAACGUACAAAAUCUGUUUCAAGCAGCUCUAUCUUCAUUGUAGCCACCAAAAACCUGUAAUUAAGAAACGACUCAAGUUCAGCCUACUCACCCUUCACCAAGGAAGCGAGGCACUCAUUGUACCAAGGCAGCCGCAGAAGGAGCCAGGCGUAAACAUACGUAGGAUGGCUGAAGAGAAGCGUGGCUCUGGUGUCCAGCGGAAACGGCCUGCUCCGGAAUCGAUCGUAAAAUCGAGACCAGGGGAGAGGGCUGGCAUCAUCGAAUGAUAGCGUUCAUUCGGGCUGAUGGCUGUUAGGGAGAGGUCGCCCGA